UAAGGAAACAGAUUGUGAAAGCUCUCUCAAGAAGCUUGACUGCAAAAAGAAAGAAAUCUGGGAUGGAAGCCUGAAGAAGUUGUCAUGUUGAGCCAGCUCACUGGUGUCCAGCUGGGGAGGAUGGAAUGCUCUGGCCCUGCUGGAGUACAGCAGGUUAUGUCUUUCCCAGAUGGACUGAUCUCAAAGCAUGGUUUCCCAGAAUGCUACUCUCUGAGGAAUUGAGACUUUAAACCAGCUACUGUAUAUUCUAUGAAGAGCAGAGCCUGAGGGAUAAAGGAAUGUGAGUGUUUGUUAAAGAGCUUGUAGUGGGCUUGGGAACUGAGACAUAUGAAGCUCCUCUGUGUGCCGGCCUUGAAAAUCUAAGAGGCAGAAGAUUGCCCUGAGUAUCUCCAAGUCUCUUGACAAAAGUCUCUGCUCCUACAACCUUGUCUCUCCUACCAUAUUGAAAAGAAAGCCUUUUGACUCCCUGGGUGGGGAUCAGAACCUGAAGGAAGAUUAAGGUGCUAUAUCUGCUCUUUGGAGAAGACCGACAGUCUGCUACAACAUCGCUCUUCACCAGAGAAACAAAAGUUGCAGGACCCCGCUUUUGUCGCAUGCUCUGAGAUCAUGGACAAGUCAUUUCAUUUUUCUGAGCCUCAAUUCCCCAAUUUGUAAAAUAAAGAUGCAAAUAUUGAAUAGGUUUAUUGUGAAAGACAAAUGAUCUCACCUAUGUAAAAUGGACAGUAGUGUCAAGUACACCAAAGAGAUUCUUCAAAGUUUCCUUGAAUUUGAAUUUAAAGCAUCCAAAAUCUUAAUCCACAGAAAAGAGCUGGAUUAAAAAUGAGAGACAGGUCCAGGCAUGGUUUGGCAUGCCUAUAGUUCCAAUUUGGUGGGAGGCUAAGCAAGGAGGAUUGAAAGUUUGAGGCCAGUCUGGGCAGUUCAAAGAGGCCUUGUCUAAAAAAACCGAGCACACACAGGUAUAUACCUGUCCACAUUAAACUAGCUUUGUGACCUUGGGUAAACCCCUAGCUGUUCCAACUCACUGUUGCCUGAGCUGGGAAAUUGGGAUAACUGUGCAUACCAUGUGCUGCUAGUAGGAAGAUUAAAUAAAUUAAAAGAAAUGAAUCUCUAGGAAAAUGGAAGGGUUUGAAAGAGUCAACAGCAAUAUUUAAAACUGCUUAAUUUUUAGAAAACAUAAUCUUCAAUUAGUGAUAGAUUAGAGAUUUUUUUUAAAGAAAAAAGCAGUGUUACAAACCAAUGGAAUCUCCUUAUGCACUGAAAAGUCUAUUGCCAGCUACUUCUCUGCAGUCAUAAGAUACACAAAUCAAAUUCUUUAUCCAAAGCUGGGGUUCCUCUCAGCUGAGAAAUUACUGGCAGC